rnacentral:rRNA from 1 species
CUACGGGGGGCUGCAGUGAGGAAUUUUGCGCAAUGGGGGAAACCCUGACGCAGCAACGCCGCGUGAGUGAUGAAGGCCUUUUUGGUCGUAAAGCUCUGUCAAGUGGGAAGAAGUUAUGUAUGAAUAACACGCAUAUAUAUUGACGGUACCACUGAAGGAAGCACCGGCUAACUCCGUGCCAGCAGCCGCGGUAAUACGGAGGGUGCGAGCGUUAUUCGGAAUCACUGGGCGUAAAGGGCGCGCAGGCGGUUUAGCAAGUCAGAUGUGAAAUCCCAGGGCUUAACCUUGGAAGUGCAUCUGAAACUGUUAGACUUGAGUAUGGGAGAGGGAAGUGGAAUUCCUGGUGAAGAGGUGAAAUUCGUAGAUAUCAGAAGGAACACCGGUGGCGAAGGCGACUUCCUGGACCAAUACUGACGCUGAGGCGCGAAGGCGUGGGUAGCAAACAGGAUUAGAUACCCUCGUAGUC